rnacentral:rRNA from 1 species
CGGGUGGUAAUGCCGGAUGCUCCAUCACACCGCAUGGUGUGUUGGGAAAGCCUUUGCGGCAUGGGAUGGGGUCGCGUCCUAUCAGCUUGAUGGCGGGGUAACGGCCCACCAUGGCUUCGACGGGUAGCCGGCCUGAGAGGGCGACCGGCCACAUUGGGACUGAGAUACGGCCCAGACUCCUACGGGAGGCAGCAGUGGGGAAUAUUGCACAAUGGGCGCAAGCCUGAUGCAGCGACGCCGCGUGAGGGAUGGAGGCCUUCGGGUUGUAAACCUCUUUUGUUAGGGAGCAAGGCAUUUUGUGUUGAGUGUACCUUUCGAAUAAGCACCGGCUAACUACGUGCCAGCAGCCGCGGUAAUACGUAGGGUGCAAGCGUUAUCCGGAAUUAUUGGGCGUAAAGGGCUCGUAGGCGGUUCGUCGCGUCCGGUGUGAAAGUCCAUCGCUUAACGGUGGAUCCGCGCCGGGUACGGGCGGGCUUGAGUGCGGUAGGGGAGACUGGAAUUCCCGGUGUAACGGUGGAAUGUGUAGAUA